UACGUAGGGUGCGAGCGUUGUCCGGAAUUACUGGGCGUAAAGGGCGCGUAGGCGGCCACCGCAAGUCGACUGUGAAAUCUCCGGGCUUAACCCGGAAAGGUCAGCCGAUACUGCGGGGCUAGAGUGCAGAAGGGGCGAACUGGAAUUCUCGGUGUAGCGGUGAAAUGCGUAGAUAUCGAGAGGAACACCUGCGGCGAAGGCGGGUUGCUGGGCUGACACUGACGCUGAGGCGCGAAAGCUAGGGGAGCGAACGGG
rnacentral:rRNA from 1 species